UACGGAGGGUGCAAGCGUUAAUCGGAAUUACUGGGCGUAAAGCGCACGUAGGUGGUUUACUAAGCCAGCUGUGAAAUCCCCGGGCUCAACCUGGGCACUGCAGUUGGAACUGGUAAGCUAGAGUAGGGUAGAGGGGUGUGGAAUUCCAGGUGUAGCGGUGAAAUGCGUAGAUAUCUGGAGGAAUACCGGUGGCGAAGGCGGCAUCCUGGACCGACAUUGACGCUGAACGGCGAAAGCUAGGGGAGCAAACGGG
rnacentral:rRNA from 1 species